AUACGUAGGUGGCGAGCGUUGUCCGGAUUUACUGGGCGUAAAGGGAGCGUAGGCGGAUUUUUAAGUGAGAUGUGAAAUACUCGGGCUUAACCUGAGUGCUGCAUUUCAAACUGGAAGUCUAGAGUGCAGGAGAGGAGAAGGGAAUUCCUAGUGUAGCGGUGAAAUGCGUAGAGAUUAGGAAGAACACCAGUGGCGAAGGCGGCCUGCUGGGCUUUAACUGACGCUGAGGCUCGAAAGUGUGGGGAGC
rnacentral:rRNA from 1 species